CUGCAAGUCUGAAGCUCUACCUGCUCCCAGUGGCCGGGUUAGAGAGCGAGGGAGGCAGGGAGGGGGCAGCUUGCGUCAGAGGUGACCGCGAAGCAUCCCCGGUGCAGCCUCGUAGGUGUGCCCUCGGCCGCUGUGCGGCUGGAUAAACCUCCUCUGGCGUGUGCGGGUCGGACUCCAUGAAGCCGGCCGGAGGGCUCGGGAGCCAGCCGGUCUGCCCCUGCUAUGGCUGGGGGAGAAGUGGCUGAGGUUGCAGGGAGCCAGCCCGCCGUGGCUGCCACUGCAGAAGGGUCAAAUAUCUCUAGUAUUUGACCUUCCCUGAGCAGUACAGCCUCAUGAACCACGACCUGGACCUGAAGCCAGAAGUCUCAGGCUAGAUUUCCUGCCAAGCUACUUCUGAAAUACAGGACCUUGAUCAAAUUAUUCAUGAAGCCCUGGGGACUACACAAACCCAAGAAGUAAUGCCGCAUUGUAUUCUAAUAAUGUAAUAAUGUAAUUCUAAUAAUUAGCCUUUUGUGAAAUGUAAAAUAGAACUAAAUGUCUAAGUUGUUGUACAUUAUGGGAAAAAUAACCAAUUUUACUCAAUAGAACAUGUUACUUACCACGUCUAAUCCCGGAAAUGCUGCACGGCCUUUGAUUUCAAUCAUUUCUUCCAUUUCAUGCACAACGUCUCUGAGGACAAAUUUAACAGAGCUGCUUGCAAAUUCAGGAAACAUCUGGCAAAGAUUGUACAACUGCCUGUUAACCAGAAACACAAGUCAUCAUUCAACUACUCCAGAUAGUAAAACCAAGAGAAAAAACAAGUCUCAUGGUAACACCAGUGUCAAAGCUACCUGCUAGUUCUCCCUAACUGAAUUCCACACCGAACUCUUGUUACAAGUUACAACUGGUGGAUCUUGGCCAAAAUAACUUUUUUCAUAUUCUGAUACAUUUUGUAGAGACCAAGACCAUAGCUUUUCUUGAAGCAUUUUCUAAGAAGUCAUUUCCCUUUAUACAGUCUAACAACAACAAAAACAGGUAAAAUAAUAAAUUGAAAGCAUCUAAAUGCUGUGGAAGAGUCAGUAGACAUGUGUCCUUAGCUCAGACUUGGCCAUUCUUCUCACUAUGUGGAUUAUGGGCAAUUUUUUUCCUCUCUCUAGGCUUUGGCUUCCUCCUCUGUAAAAUAAAAGUGUUGUAUCAGA